UGAGCAAUCUGCCCUUCUCAUCGGAAUAAGCGUUGGAAACGACGUCUAAUGCCGAAUACGACCUCCUUUCGCAUGAUCGGAGGUGGAAAGCUCCGGCGGAGAAGGAUGAGCUCGCGGCCUAUCAGCUAGUUGGUGUGAGUAAUGGCCCACAAGGCGACGACGGGUAGCCGGCCUGAGGAGGGUCGACCCGGCCACACGUGGGACUGGAGACACGGCCCAGACCUCCGUAGGGAGG
rnacentral:rRNA from 1 species